UACGGAAGGCAGCAGUGGGGAAUAUUGCACAAUGGGCGCAAGCCUGAUGCAGCCAUGCCGCGUGUAUGAAGAAGGCCUUCGGGUUGUAAAGUACUUUCAGCGGGGAGGAAGGCGAUGCGGUUAAUAACCGCGUCGAUUGACGUUACCCGCAGAAGAAGCACCGGCUAACUCCGUGCCAGCAGCCGCGGUAAUACGGAGGGUGCAAGCGUUAAUCGGAAUUACUGGGCGUAAAGCGCACGCAGGCGGUCUGUUAAGUCAGAUGUGAAAUCCCCGGGCUUAACCUGGGAACUGCAUUUUGAAACUGGCAGGCUUGAGUCUUGUAGAGGGGGUAGAAUUCCAGGUGUAGCGGUGAAAUGCGUAGAGAUCUGGAGGAAUACCGGUGGCGAAGGCGGCCCCUGGGACAAAGACUGACGCUCAGGUGCGAAAGCGUGGGGAGCAAACAGGAUUAGAUACC
rnacentral:rRNA from 1 species